CAGUCUGCGUAUAAAUAACACGACUUUACACUUUCUAUUUGCGUGUAAUGCAUACGCCAAAUGCCAUUUUUGCGUGCAUAUGAUACGCCAAUCCUUCCCAUUAAUUUCGGUGGAGAGCAGAUGCGUCCAAAUAACACGCAUCAUCUUCAGCGGCAGUGACGUCACUAGCGAGGCUCGUUCAGUUCACCUGAUGCGCGUACACCUUCAAACAGGUAAGCAAGGGUAAAUAUAUUUUUUUAUUCUUCUUUUUGUAAUGAUAUCACGUGGUUAAGCGUAUUGUUUUAAUUAUUUCAGUAUUUCUGCAUCACGUUAGACAGGGCCGUGUUUUUAAAGGGCAGUUUAUGCUCCAAUUAUGGGUCAGUGGGCUGCUCAGCUAGCCUACCAUUGUCAUUAGCCUAAGCUAACCUGUACUGUUUAUAGACCUGUUGCAGUUUUAAAUAAAUUUAUGAUGUGGCAUAUGGGUCUUCAGCUUUUAGACAUGACUAAUACAAGCACAACAAAGCACCCAACCCAAUAUCGCGUGAUAAUCGUGAUCGUGUAAAAAGUCCACACAUUUAGCAUAUUUUUACAAUACUAGCCUAACUUUUGCUUGACCACGUCAUGUGUAGCCAAUACACACACAGUAACUACAGCAUAUUUACCAUGCUUCUCCUACUGUAACUGUAGUUUUACUCUGGACUUUGUAACGCACAUAACCACGACAUUUACUAUGGGUUUACCAUAGUAACCAUAGUUUUACUCUGGUAUUUGUAUUUACUAACACACAAUAACCACGACAUUUACUAUGGGUUUACCAUAGUAACCAUAGUUUUACUCUGGUAUUUGUAUUUACUAACACACAAUAACCACGACAUUUACUAUGGGUUUACCAUAGUAACCAUAGUUUUACUCUGGUAUUUGUAUUUACUAACACACAAUAACCACGACAUUUACUAUGGGUUUACCAUAGUAACUUAGUUUUACUCUGGUAUUUGUAUUUACUAACACACAAUAACCACGACAUUUACUAUGGGUUUACCAUAGUAACCAUAGUUUUACUCUGGUAUUUGUAUUUACUAACACACAAUAACCACAACAUUUACUAUGGGUUUACCAUAGUAACCAUAGUUUUACUCUGGUAUUUGUAUUUACUAACACACAAUAACCACGACAUUUACUAUGGGUUUACCAUAGUAACCAUAGUUUUACUCUGGUAUUUGUAUUUACUAACACACAAUAACCACGACAUUUACUAUGGGUUUACCAUAGUAACCAUAGUUUUACUCUGGUAUUUGUAUUUACUAACACACAAUAACCACGACAUUUACUAUGGGUUUACCAUAGUAACCAUAGUUUUACUCUGGUAUUUGUAUUUACUAACACACAAUAACCACGACAUUUACUAUGGGUUUACCAUAGUAACCAUAGUUUUACUCUGGUAUUUGUAUUUACUAACACACAAUAACCACAACACUUACCAGGAUUUUACCACAGUAACUGUUUUUACUCUACACUAUUUGUAAAGCACAGUAACCACUAAGUUUGCCAUGCCUUUAAUAUCUUUUUGUGAUGUAAUUGUAAUUCAGUGUUUUUUCUGUCUUGCAGUUACGUCAGAUUACAUACUCCACAACAACCUGUAAUCCAGCAGAUCUUUAAAGAAGCCAUCUCUUGUAAAAUCUCUCUCUCUCUCUCUCUCUCUCUCUCUCUCUCUCGCUCUGCUAGAAUUAACAGGGAACUUCAACUCCACGCUCCCAAUGCUGAUAUUGAAGAAGCAGUCAAGGGGGCUGAACAAGUCCUUCAAAGGAUCAACCCUUCACAGGAAGGCCUGUCAUGAGAUUUGAAUUUGACCAUCUUGUGCAUUUAUGAAGAAGACCAAAAGCUGCAAAGGCAAACACUUCCAAUGGCAGAAACUGAGAGUUUGCAUGAUGGCAUUUUCUCAGACGCUGAAUCUGAUGUGUACAGAUGAACUCAGGAGCCUACUAGAGUUGCCAAGGAACUUGUGCUUGAACUGAAGACCAGAAACGCAAAGAAAAUCAGUCAAACCAGUCCUAAAGAAAUGAGGAAUGAACAUGGACUUCUUGUGCCCCAAAAGAAAAGACAGAAAGCUCCUAAAAUGAGCAAAUAAGCUGUGCAUCAUCUCUGUGAUUUGGGAAGGAAAUGACUGAAUAUGAUGAAGCCAAUUGAUGAAGAUAUCAAUUGAAUGGCCACCGAGUGCAUCACUGCUACCUGAACCCAUCAGUUAUCUUCUGUGAAGACUGCAUUCACAAACCGCUCUACUGCGACAGCUCAGAUGUUACGGUCCGUAAAAGUAAACAUCACAGCUAAACAACGAGAGCUAGUUGUUGUGGGAUUCUUUUGGCCAAUAUCCCCAACAAGAAUCAAUGUUAAGUCCAGUGCAACAAUUAUAAAUAAAAAUACUAUAUAUUGUUUAUUGAUUUACCAUACCCUAAAUACAUGUUUUGGCCCUCCAGGACAUCUAGACCAGGUGGAGUGUGAGGAGGACCGUCAGAGACGCCAGCCAGCCGAGCCAUGGAUUGCUCUCACUGUUACCAUCAGGCAGGCGUUAUCACAGAACCUACACCAGCAGACAGUGAGACAAGUUCCUUUCACAGGCAAUCAGACUGAACUGAACUCAUACCAGUAAAACCAUACACACCCCACCAACCUCAUAUGCCCUGCACUCUUAUCAGUUAUGCUGACUGGACUCAAUAUUAUUAUGCACCCUGACAUUCUGUUUGCACUAAUUCAUACCGUGCUUUACUGCAGAGAUGUAUGUGUACUGUGAUUAUUAUUGUUUUCAAUUCAUGCUCUUUGUAUAGCAUAAUUUUUAACAUAUAUUGUUCUCUACCUGAAUUGAGUCCCUUAUAUAUGUGUGUUGCAUAUAUAUAUAUUCAGAAUUUUUAUUUCAUAUAUAUUCAUGAAUUAAUUCAUUUGUCAUCCAUACUGUCACGCUGCAGUCUGCACCCAAGACUUUCAUCACCUGUAUACUUGUGUUCAUUGUAUUGUGACAAUAAAGAUAUUUGAUUUAAA